rnacentral:rRNA from 1 species
UGGGGAAUUUUGGACAAUGGGGGCAACCCUGAUCCAGCAAUGCCGCGUGUGUGAAGAAGGCCUUCGGGUUGUAAAGCACUUUUGUCCGGGAAGAAAUCGCACCUGAUAAUACCGGGUGUGGAUGACGGUACCGGAAGAAUAAGGACCGGCUAACUACGUGCCAGCAGCCGCGGUAAUACGUAGGGUCCAAGCGUUAAUCGGAAUUACUGGGCGUAAAGCGUGCGCAGGCGGUUGUGCAAGACCGAUGUGAAAUCCCCGGGCUUAACCUGGGAAUUGCAUUGGUGACUGCACGGCUAGAGUGCGUCAGAGGGGGGUAGAAUUCCACGUGUAGCAGUGAAAUGCGUAGAGAUGUGGAGGAAUACCGAUGGCGAAGGCAGCCCCCUGGGAUAACACUGACGCUCAUGCACGAAAGCGUGGGGAGCAAACAGG